CGCCGUUGAUGCGCGGACCGGAACCCUACCAUCUUCACCUUCGCCCCUGGAUAGCCGCACUUCCUGCGGUGCCCUAUCUUCCACACUCCCCUCAACUCUCUUCGCGUCUAUCAUGCGGACAUUCACGAAUAUCCCUUAUGGUGCAGGCGUGCGCCUUGGCCAGUGGAUGCUGAUGGGGAAUCGACGCGCUCCCCUUCUCCUGGCUGCCUUCUCCUCUCCGCUCUAGGCCUGCCAGCAAGUGCGCCCGUCCCUGCGAACGGGCUUGGAUGCACGGCAGCUCCUCAUACCAGGUUCCACGGAUCCCACUCCGUUGCGAUCCCUCUCUCACGCCGUUACGAGGUGUGCCGGAGAGGUGUGUUGCGUAGACGGCUGUGGUGGUGACGGUGCAGAAGGGGGGGCCUCUUCCGCUGGGCUCCGAUGGGCUGAUUGCGGGUGUUUGAAUGAUCAUGGUGCUGCGGGAGGACGUGCGGGUGUCGGAGGAGUUCGUCCGUCGCCUCGAGGACCCCGCCCAGGGCAGCUGCCUCGAAGCGGCUGCCAGCAGAUGGGUGGAAGGUGCCCGCGCCCGCUGCCGGGAGAAGGAGCGGGUGCGGACGUGGGACGCGCUGCGGCAGACGUGAGAGGGCAUGGAUAUCGCCGCCUCCGGGGUGCAUCCUCGCGUGCGCCGGCACCGACGGACGAGGACCCACGGGCGCUCUUCUCAGUUGCUUCCUCCGCGUUAGAACAGCGGAGUUCCAGGCAUCGCACUUGCCACUGCGGCGCCGUCGGCUGAGGAUAGCCCCCGGCCUGAGUGCGUGGACGCCUUGCUCGCCGGUGCCAUGGGGAUGCCAGCGCCGCCCAGCGACCGCCGGCCCGGAGAACACCCUCUCGACGGUGCGGGGAGGGACUACCGCUCUCGGCGCCGCUGCAUGCGAGCGGCGUAGCGGCCGUGGAUGCUGCGGUCGUGCGCGCGGCACUGCGGGCGGAGCGGAGGCGGCGGGCGAAGAGCUGUGGCAAGGUCUACGCGCGGGGCCGCGGCCGUAAUGAAAUGCUGCGAUUGCGGCCGUAGCGCUGCCGGCUCCGUCGUCUGCGUUUUGUGAGAGAGACAUGGGCUGAUGGGGAGGCGACCUAUCCUGUGGCCGCGAGCGGUGUGCCGGCGGCCCGCCGCGGAGGGAUGCAGGGAUUACGCCGCUCUGGACGGCUGGCCGUGGCUGGGCGCGGUGUGCAACGCUGGUGGAGUGGUGGACCGGAGGGCGUCCCCUUCGCCGGGUACCCAUGCCUGAGGGGUCUGAGCCCCCGUAUUUGUUGUGAGCGGCUGGCCGGAUGCCCUCUGAGCUGAGCGCCAUACCGGUGAGCUGACGCUCAGGCGCUGAGGGGAUGCCAACGGUGACAGCGAGACGGGCUGGCUGCCCUUGCUGGGCCGCGCAAGGUGCUAGGAAUGAGCAAGCUAGUGCGCCGAUUGCCGGCAUGCGGGGUGCAGGCUCAUUUUGCGGUGUGGGGCAAGCAGCAGGGUCGACGAUUUCGGCGGCAUGCCGGUUGAGGGUUGCUCUCAACAGCGACGAAGCGGAAGUGCCCCCCACCCCUUCCCCUCCCGGUGCUGCAGGAGUCGCUUGCGACCGGGAUGCGAGAGGCGUCUGCCUUGGAGGAAGAGCCGUCAAGGUGCUGCGCGCGGACCCGACUGGAAGCCUGACAUUGGACCCGCUGGGGCGUGUCCUGCGGCGACUGUGGUUGAGGGUCGGGCCCGUGGUGAUUGCUGCUCGUGGACGGCGGCGGCCUCUGUGUGGUGGCGCUUUACGCUGGCUGGCCGAUGGCAGGCCGCGCUUUCCGGGAGCGCCGAGGGUGAGGUGGACAAGCGGUGCCGGUGUGCCGCAGCGAGCACGCGACGGCGCAGCAGGCCGCCGCCGACGACCGGCGCUGUGCGCGGCCUCUGCGGCGACGCGACAUUGGGCGGAUGGGGACCCGCGCGCGUGAGGCGGGCGACAGAGGCAGCCGGCAUCACGGGCACGCGAUGGGGGCAUGGCCCCGCCGACGGCGUAGGUGCGGCAGCGCACCGGGCGGUAUCUCGGCGCUCUUUGUGUGGAGCUGCAAGGGCCGCGUGGCGCAUCGGCGCACAUACCCGGGGCGCUUUGCGGCGAGGACGCUCUGCGUGAGGGUGCCUCCAGCAGGCGCGACCACCAUCGACGUCGCUGUGUGCGGCAGCGACGCCAGCAACGACGACGAUGCCCCAAUCGUCAACCGUGAACGCGGCGCAUUGCCUGUGGAAGGACGUUCGCCGGGAUGGCGCAGGGGCGCUGGAUUUGGCCGGUGCUUCACCGGCUAGGCGCAGCACACCGUCGCAUUGUGGGCCUCACCGCGUAGUCUGCGCGCGGUAGGAGGUCGCUGCGCUGCGCCGCAACCGGCGAGGGAGGAGACGGUCGGCGUCGUCGUGGACGUCUGCGGCAGGGAGGACGCGCUGCGCGGCGUCAUCAAGGCACUUGGUGUGCCAGCUGUCGAGGCCUGCCACGACCUGCUCGGCGUUAUGUCGGCAUCAUGCUGCACGGCCGCGUCCAUGCUGAAUACCGAGACACGCGUGGCUGUGCUGAGGCCGCGUGCGGCGGACAUCCUGAGGCGUGUGUGGAGCGGGGCGCUGACGCUGGCGUGCGGUCGCCGCAUGUGCCACAUCGUGGCGGUGCUGCCGCCGGAGUCGCUGGCCGUGGCGAGCACGCUACUGCCACUGCUGGACCUGUCCACGGACCCCUCCCACUGGAGCCGUUCUCGGCACGGAGGUGAUUGUGGACGCCGUGCGCAGGAACGGAGGCGGCUUGGAUGAGCUGCUUGCCGCGUCUGAUGAGCGCCGUGUGCGGGCAGGAGGGCGCACGAAUGAGAGGCUGCUGAGGGCCGUGCGGCGCUGCGGGGCAUGGCGUUGUGCGAUCCCGUAGGGUGUGCGUGGCUGCUCGGCCACAAGCUUCUGUGCUGCGCCUCCCGGUGCUGGUGGCUGUAGACGCGAGGUGAGAUGAGGAUGUGACGGGGGAGGGCUGGUGGUGGAUGUGUGCGAGCGCGUGGGUGUCGGGGCGGAGGGGCGUGUGCGCUGACGUAGGGUCCCCCUCACGUGCUGCGACGGGCACUGCCGCCCUCGUCGCCCCCUCGCGCGCACACGGGGUCGCUGCGCCUGACACCCCCUGCUCACUGGCGGCCUCCGCCUUUGUUGUGGUGCAGGGCUGCUGCGGUGCGGUGUCUGCGCGUGCUCGGUCCGUCUGCGCCCGCCGUGUCUCUCCCUGCUGUGUGCCGCGAGCGGGAUGAGCGGUGGCGGUGCGGCGCCGGUGGUGUCGGCGGAUUGUCGCGGCGGUGCCGUGCGUGAGGGCCGCGACGAUGGCGGUGCUUUUGUGUGCCGGUGUCUCCACCGGCGGUGCUGUGGUCGAUGUGUCUUCUGCUGUGUGGGCCUAUGGAGGGGGCUGGUGUUGGGCUGCGACGGUGCGUGGUGGGCGGUGCUGCAUCCCGCCCGCACACACACCGAGGCCGCCCCCCCUCCCCUGCGCACGCAGGUGCUGCUAGGGCAACGCCGAAACGAGAAUGACGCAGCGGGAGGCCCCCGUGCGGUAGGUUGUGCGACUGCGUGUCUUUGCACCGUCUUCCCUCGUCCUCGCGGUGCGGCGCGCGACUUGUUUGCAGCCGCGGCUAAACGAAGGGGGCGGGGCCAGUCGCGAGGAGGAGGACGCUGCGGGUGCGGGGGCUGUGUGCGGCGCGAGGGGUGGAGCGGGGCUGCCCGGAGGGUAGCGAGCAGUGCCCUCUGUCCUCUCUGCUUGCCCCCCUCUCGUGCGCGCCUGUCUCUCCCUCGCUGCCGUUGCGGCGCGCGGCACAUCUGCCGGCCUCCUCUCCUGAUCCUUUUUGCCUGUGUGCGUGCCAGCCACUACUGGCCCAUGCGCUCCCGCUGUGCACGCCUGGCAGUCUCACCUGCCUGUCUCCUCCCCCUGCCUCCCCCCACUCUCUGUCUCUCCGUCCCUUCCCUCUCUCUCCUCGCCGCUUUCCACUCGUGCCCGCGCUGGCCAUCCGUCUUUGCCCUCUCGCCACACGCGCGCACAACCAAACGAACGCCGACAACGCGCGCGUGCACAUGCAACGGCGACACGUGCACGCCUGCAUAUCUGCAUAUGCUGUCAAGGCUCUUCCUCGCUGUCUUCGGCUUGCACCCCCCGCGCCCUCCUCGCCGGCUCUGUUGCGCCAUCUCGACCCCCUGCGCUUCGCUCUUUCUCCUGUGUGCGUUUUUUGAGGGUUCGUUUCGGUAAGAUAUGCGUAGUAUUGAAAAUGGUGUUUAUGCUGGGGGUGCUGGUCUACGUGGUCCUGCAGUUCAUCGCGCUCUUGUGCGUGCUGAUCGGCAGUUUUCUUGACAUGUUCCGUUUUAUUCCGUUCUAUCGCCAAAACAACCUGCCUUGCCUCACCUUAUGGGGCUAUAAAGUGGAUUGCUACUCCACAAAGUACGUCCUGUCGUCGAACCAGCGUUGGGCAUCAUGCCCUGCGCGCCGCGACCGGUUUCGCGGUUCUCAGGCGUUGGUCAUCAUCUCGAUCUGUGUGUACGGCGCGGCGGUCGUCUUCGGCUUUCUGAUGCUCUUUCGCUUUGCUUUUUGCCGCUGGCUCUGCCUGGCGCUAAACAUACUUGGCGUCUGCACCUUGGGCAUCACCGGGGCAUUGGUUAUGGUGGCGUAUUACAUUGACGAGGGCAUCGACUGUCCGGAGCUGAGGGUGGACUUUAAGUAUGGCGUGGGAUUCGCUCUCCUCAUGGUGGCGUGGGUCUUGGAUAUCUUCAACACUCCCAUAUUGUGGCUUCCGUGGCCAACUGUGAACUCUGCUGAGAAUGUGAACCACAGUAAUGGCACCUUAAACUGCAGAAAAGGGGGAGCAAAAAGCGACGAGCGAACUUGACGGCAGCGCGGCAGCUCCAGCGGGACGUCCUUGUGAAGGGGCCGGCGGAGCUGAUGCCGUCGGGAAACACGGAGGGAGCUGAGGCUGCGGACGCUCGCUUCCGCCUUUCGCCGGCAUCUCUCUCUCUCUCUCGGCGACUCCUCGUGCGUGCGUGCGCGUUCCUUCCCGAGUCUGGCUUUGGUUUCGCUCUCGAGCGGCUGUGCUGAGGCCGCGUGCGGCGGACAUCCUGAGGCGUGUGUGGAGCGGGGCGCUGACGCUGGCGUGCGGUCGCCGCAUGUGCCACAUCGUGGCGGUGCUGCCGCCGGAGUCGCUGGCCGUGGCGAGCACGCUACUGCCACUGCUGGACCUGUCCACGGACCCCUCCCACUGGAGCCGUUCUCGGCACGGAGGUGAUUGUGGACGCCGUGCGCAGGAACGGAGGCGGCUUGGAUGAGCUGCUUGCCGCGUCUGAUGAGCGCCGUGUGCGGGCAGGAGGGCGCACGAAUGAGAGGCUGCUGAGGGCCGUGCGGCGCUGCGGGGCAUGGCGUUGUGCGAUCCCGUAGGGUGUGCGUGGCUGCUCGGCCACAAGCUUCUGUGCUGCGCCUCCCGGUGCUGGUGGCUGUAGACGCGAGGUGAGAUGAGGAUGUGACGGGGGAGGGCUGGUGGUGGAUGUGUGCGAGCGCGUGGGUGUCGGGGCGGAGGGGCGUGUGCGCUGACGUAGGGUCCCCCUCACGUGCUGCGACGGGCACUGCCGCCCUCGUCGCCCCCUCGCGCGCACACGGGGUCGCUGCGCCUGACACCCCCUGCUCACUGGCGGCCUCCGCCUUUGUUGUGGUGCAGGGCUGCUGCGGUGCGGUGUCUGCGCGUGCUCGGUCCGUCUGCGCCCGCCGUGUCUCUCCCUGCUGUGUGCCGCGAGCGGGAUGAGCGGUGGCGGUGCGGCGCCGGUGGUGUCGGCGGAUUGUCGCGGCGGUGCCGUGCGUGAGGGCCGCGACGAUGGCGGUGCUUUUGUGUGCCGGUGUCUCCACCGGCGGUGCUGUGGUCGAUGUGUCUUCUGCUGUGUGGGCCUAUGGAGGGGGCUGGUGUUGGGCUGCGACGGUGCGUGGUGGGCGGUGCUGCAUCCCGCCCGCACACACACUGAGGCCGCCCCCCUCCCCUGCGCACGCAGGUGCUGCUAGGGCAACGCCGAAACGAGAAUGACGCAGCGGGAGGCCCCCGUGCGGUAGGUUGUGCGACUGCGUGUCUUUGCACCGUCUUCCCUCGUCCUCGCGGUGCGGCGCGCGACUUGUUUGCAGCCGCGGCUAAACGAAGGGGGCGGGGCCAGUCGCGAGGAGGAGGACGCUGCGGGUGCGGGGGCUGUGUGCGGCGCGAGGGGUGGAGCGGGGCUGCCCGGAGGGUAGCGAGCAGUGCCCUCU
rnacentral:misc_RNA from 1 species